CCUACGGGAGGCUGCAGUAGGGAAUCUUCCGCAAUGGACGAAAGUCUGACGGAGCAACGCCGCGUGAGCGAAGAAGGCCUUCGGGUCGUAAAGCUCUGUUGUCAGGGAAGAACAAGUAUCGGAGUAACUGCCGGUACCUUGACGGUACUUGACGAGAAAGCCACGGCUAACUACGUGCCAGCAGCCGCGGUAAUACGUAGGUGGCAAGCGUUGUCCGGAAUUAUUGGGCGUAAAGCGCGCGCAGGCGGUCCUUUAAGUCUGAUGUGAAAUCUUGCGGCUCAACCGCAAGCGGUCAUUGGAAGCUGGGGGGCUUGAGUGCAGAAGAGGAAAGCGUAAUUCCACGUGUAGUGGUGAAAUGCGUAGAGAUGGGGAGGAACACAAGUGGCGAAGGCGGCUCUCUGGACUGUAACUGACGCUGAGGCACGAAAGCGUGGGGAGCAAACAGGAUUAGAUACCCUUGUAGUC
rnacentral:rRNA from 1 species